UGGCAAAGCUUUAAAACGAUGACAAACAAUAAAACAUUCAUCACACCUCUGUAUUGUUUUCUGUUCUUGUUACAAAAACGGAACUUUGAAGACUGUGAACACGCGUUCCAAAGGACAGUUUGGCUUACAUUUAGGUUUUUUUUUUUUGUUUUUUUUUUUCGAGCAGACCAAUAUGAAAGCCAAUGAUCUAUAUUGUACAGAACAGUGCAUUCCAAAUACAACAUCCGUUUUUUUUGUUUGUUUGUUUGUCUGUCUGUUUGUUUGCGUUUAAGCAAGGACUGAUUCUUUAGUUUUUUUUUUAUAUAAGUAUUCCUUCUGUUAUUUAAAAGGUGACUGUAAGCUGUUGUGCAAAUGUAGAGUCCCCGACUGCCGCCAUUGCAACUCCCAGUUCACGUAAGUCUGGUAUGGGGGAGUUUAGAGUGAGUGUUUCUCACUCCAAAGGAAUAUUACAAAGUAAUAGCGGUCACCAGAAUAAUAUGUACAUAAACACACUUCAGAUUCUCACGUCCGUCUCACCUGUUCAAUGUGAUCAUGCCUCUCAGCUGCCAACAAGUCAGUAGCAGAACUAUAGGUUGUUUGGAAAAGACGUCUGAAGCGGUGGGCUUUCCUACCUGUACGAAGUGUCACAGGUGUCUGUAGGCCAGCCGUUCAGCCAUUUCCCCGCAUAAUCAGGAGAUGCCGUUUCUGAGGGAAAUGUUCAUCCCAAAGUAUUUAAAGAAACGAACAGAGCUAAUGGUUGUUGUUUUUUUUGGGUUUUUUUUCACUUUUUUUUUUGGUUUGUUUUUUUGUUUGAUAAAGAUCUCCCUUUUGCUGUUGAAAGUUUAGGAGCGCGGAUCUGCCCUCACACCCAAAGAGAGGUUGUUCACGUCUGCCGAUUGCAGUCCAAAUGGUUGUACUCAAAAAGAUAUACAUCCUCUCCUCCCCAGAAAAAAAAUGAAUUUUUUAUUUUUUAUUAUUAUUUUCUUUUCUUUGCACCAAGACACAUUGAAAUGUGUGUAAUUGCUCUUUGGCCACCGGUGUAUAGCAUUUGGCCUAAAUUAAACCGUUUCCACACCUCAGAAGUGUGUUAAGUGUUGCAUCUUGCGGGGGGGAAAAAAAUGUGAUUUUGUGUCAAUACUUGCGCACUCAGUCGAUUUUGGGUUGAUUUGAUCUGCAAGCUCGCUCCUCCAAACUCCUGUUCUUGGAAAAAAAUUGUUCAUAUGAUUUUUUUUAAGAAUCCUAAUGUUGUACAGGUUAUUCUUGAAUUAAUGCUUUUUUGCAUUUUUGUUUUUAAAUAAUGUCAUAGACAUUAUUUUUUCAUAUAACUAUUUGUAUGCUGUUUAGGUUUCUGUGUAUUAUUUUUUCCUCAUAUAAAUUAACAUAUAACGCUAGCUUUAAAUCUGAAUUGCUGAAGUUUCCUCUUUUUUUAAUACUACUCUGACCUGGCCUCUUUAUAAUGUGAUAAUGAUCCAUUAUUUGUUUGCAUUUUUAUCAGAUUUUUUAAAACUCUAGUUUCCAAAGGUUAUUCUGUUCUAGGCUCUUUUUCAGCAUUUGCAGCUUGCAUGGGCUAUGUAUAAGGGUGUGUGUUUCUGUGUGUGUGUGUGUGUCUGUUUGGUUGUGUGUGUUUGCGUGUUCUGGGAGCCAGCAUCGAUUUUUUUUAUUUAAUAUUUUUCAUUUUUACACACCAAAAGAACUGAACUGAACUGAAAAGUUUAAUUUAAACUAAAUACGUGAACAUCAUUUAAAAAAAGGGAUUUCAAAGGAAGCAAUGAUCAUAAUGUGGAGGAUAAUAGUAAAGCACUGAGCAAUUAAAAAAAAAAAAAAAUUGAAUUAAUGAAUGUGGCCAAAGCUUUAUACAGCUGCAAAUUGACAGGAGAAUUUCAGUAGUGGUGCCUGUCAUAAGGGCAUGUUUUAUCGUGGCACAACACACAGGACAGCUGAAAUAGUUCUGCAAGAAGCUUCAAUUCAAACUUGAUUUUCAUUGACUGAUAAAGAGAGAAAAGGAGAUUGGUAUUGCUGUAGUAUUAUUGCAAAGGUCAUCUCCCCCCCACUGUGAAAAUAAACAUGUAUACAGAUAUAGAUAUAUUUAAAACAUCAGUUUCUUUAAGGAAGGAAAAAAUACUCUGGGAGCUUUAUGUUACAUUGGGUUUUUUUUUUUUUUUGGAGAGUUCACACUGACGUGAAGGAGCGGCCAUUUUGUUUGGUGGUGGGCAGUCCAUACACAGCUGGUCGUGGCAGCCUGAGGUACAUGGUGGCUAGGAUAGCAAGUCGAUUAUUCACUGCAGGCAGUUCUGGGAAGGGGACGGACUUCUGAACCAAUGGUGGACAUGAAACGGCGAGGGGAAUCUUGAAAAGCCAAACUCCAGUAGCUGGUACCACUAUUUUCCCGCCCUUUCCCCCUCUCUCUCUCUCUCUCUCUCUCUCUCUCUCUAUCUGUCUGUCUCUCUCUCUCUCUCUCCCUCUCUCAUGGAGUCAACCAAACGAACCAUGAAAAACCCUUUUCUUUAUGAAAGGGCGUGUGUUUUCUAAGCUGUAAUUCUCAAAGAAGCAGUUUGAAUUUUUUUUUUUUUAAAGCAAAGCAACCAAAAUUAACAACCAAACUAACAACCAAACCAUUUGCUCCAAUUUCUAAGAUGAACUGUUGUGUGGAGCCCCCCCCCCCCCUCCUCCCUCCCAAAAAACAAAAUCCUUUUUGUGACUCCUGGUGCCACAAUGUUUUUUUUAAUUCUUUUUUUUUUAUGCAUUAUUUUUUCUGGUUUUAAUUUUCGUUUCCUUGAAUUAUUCCUCCUCAGAGCCACACAGAAACGACUCUGAGGCUCCAGUCGGCCCACCUGAGGGUAUAAAAAAUCAGCCUUGCAAUGUACAAAAAAGAGCAAGUUAAACCAAAAAUGUUGUUCUUGAUGUCUUUUCUAUACUGUAGUCUUGUUAGCUUUUUUUUGUUACUGUAAUUAUAUGAUGAAGAUUUCCAAACUGUACCAAAUUACAAUGGAGACUAACGUACAAAAACCACAUGGAAUUUCACUUUUAAAGAGAAACUUUUGUCACAAAAAAACUUGUUGUCCUAGUUAAGUUGAUUGUAGAUGGUAAUUGAAUAUACUCCUUUGAAAAUAUUUCAUCAAGUAUGUUUCUUGCUCAUUGUGAUACAUUAAAAAAGUAUGAGCAAAAAUG